rnacentral:rRNA from 1 species
GUCUUUUUGAGUUAUUUUUAAAGUCUGACCUGCCCACUGAAUAUUUGAAUGGCCGCAGUAUUUUAACUGUGCAAAGGUAGCAUAAUCAUUAGUCUUUUAAUUGAAGGCUGGUAUGAAUGGUUGGACGAAGUAUAAGCUGUUUCAUAUAAAUUUAUAUUAGAAUUUUAUUUUUUAGUCAAAAAGCUAAAAUAUAUUUAAAAGACGAGAAGACCCUAUAAAUCUUUAUAUUUUAUAUAAUUUAAAUUUUUUUGAUUUUGUUUAUUUUAAUUAUUUAAAAUAUUUUGUUGGGGUGAUGUUAAAAUUUAAUGAACUUUUAAUUGUUUAAAAUCAUUAAUUUAUGAAUUAUUGAUCCAUUAUUAGUGAUUAUAAGAUUAAGUUACUUUAGGGAUAACAGCGUAAUUUUUUUGGAGAGUUCUUAUCGAUAAAAAAGUUUGCGACCUCGAUGUUGGAUUAAGAUAUAAUUUUAGGUGUAGCUGCUUAAAUAUUGAGUCUGUUCGACUUUUAAAUUCUU